CUUCCAGUAGCACCUUAGAGACCAACUAAGUAAGUUAUUGGUAUGAGCUGACUAAGUAUGGUAUCUGAAGAAGUGUACAUAUACACAAAAGCUCAUACCAAUAACAUACUUAGUUGGUCUCUAAGGUGCUACUGGAAG